CAAGCACCACACCUUNUAGAGCAACUCAAAUAGGGUACAGCCUAUUUGAAACAGGAAACAACMUACAAAACNGGGUAACUACNACNUAGCCAAGCAACAUAGUGGGCCUAAGAGCAGCCAACACUUAAAAAGCGUCAAAACUUAAUUGCCCACCUCCACGUAUUUCACAAACACCACCGAACCCGUUAAUAGUACUGAAUACUUCAAUACCUUUAUUGAACCUUUUAUGUUAAAACUAGUAACAAGAAAUAAAUUUUCUCACAAUGUAAACAUAACCCAGACAGCACCCCGCACUGGCAGUUAACGAUCCUAACUCAAGGGUAACAACCCUCACAAAUAAAACUCUACCACACACCCCCGUCAACCUAACACAAGAACAUUACAAGAAAGAUUAAAAGAAAAAAAAGGAACUCGGCAAACAUUAAUUUCGCCUGUUUACCAAAAACAUCGCCUCUUGAACACUAUAAAAGGUCCAGCCUGCCCAGUGAACCAUUAACGGCCGCGGUAUCCUAACCGUGCAAAGGUAGCACAAUCACUUGUUUUUUAAAUAAAGACUAGUAUGAACGGCAUCACGAAAAUUAAACUGUCUCUUUUUUCCAAUCAGUGAAACUAAUCUCCCCGUGAAGAAGCGGGGAUUAUCCUAUAAGACGAGAAGACCCUGUGGAGCUUUAAACUUUACUAGCACCCACUUUACCCCCAACAACCCACCAAGUUUCCCUGCCUAGAGAGUUUUCGGUUGGGGCGACCUUGGAGAACAACACAUCCUCCAAGCUGAAACAGUUUAUACUUAAACAAAAACCCACAACUUUAUGUAUCAAUAAAUUGACACCCAUUGACCCAGUAACCUGAUCAACGAACCAAGUUACCCCAGGGAUAACAGCGCAAUCUUCUUCGAGAGCCCAUAUCGACAAGAAGGUUUACGACCUCGAUGUUGGAUCAGGGUACCCAAGGAGUGCAGCCGCCCCUAAAGGUUCGUUUGUUCAACGAUU
rnacentral:rRNA from 1 species